rnacentral:rRNA from 1 species
AUGUUGCAAAAAAAGCAUUUAUCUGGUUGUGCGAAAAGAAAAAAGAAGAAACUUGUAGAUGAAUUCAUUGGAACUCAAAAGGGUGCUAUUCAUAAUUUCGUUUUUAAAAAAUCCACUGCCGAGAAUCCAGAGGUAUUAGCUGUUCAUAGUGUUGAAGAAGAACAAUUUGAUGAAAACUUAGUCGAGGAAAAUGUUGACAUUGACGAUUCUACAAAUUUGGGUGGCCAUGAAAAUGUUUCUGAUACUGAAAAUCCUAAAGAAGAUGAACACAAAUCUUCUAGUUUAGAUAUUUAUGACCCUAGAACUUGGGAAAUUCUUGACAAUAAAUCAAGAGACAUUCUAAUAGAGAAAGGGCCUACAAGGGAUUUAAAUCUUGUGUAUCAUCCAGAUGAUAACGGUAGGCAUUUUUCAAAUGCCUACUACUCAAGAAAUCUAAGUAAUGGGGAGGUUAGUGAUAGGAAAUGGUUGGUGUACUCUAAGGAUGCGAAUAAAGUUUACUGUUUUUGCUGCAAAUUGUUCAAAUCGGAAGGUAACAAAAGUCUGUUAGCAUCUGAGGGACUAAGUGAUUGGCAACAUCUUAGCCAGAGGCUCAAACUUCAUGAGAAUAGUAUUGAGCAUAUCACUAACAUGAAUACUUGGAAUGAGGUAAGGCUGAGACUAAAUAAAAAUCAAACAAUUGACAAAAAUUUGCAGCAAGAAAUUGCAAAAGAAAAAGAGCGAUGGAGACAAGUUUUAAUAAGAAUUGUUGCUGCUGUGAAGUUUCUUGCUAAACAUAAUUUGGCUUUUCGAGGAUCGAAUGAGAAACUUUAUCAAGAUAACAAUGGUAACUUUUUGGGAAUAAUAGAAAUGAUGGCAGAAUUUGAUCCUAUAAUGCAGGACCAUAUUAGGCGUAUUCAAAAUAGUGAAAUUCAUCAUCACUAUCUUGGCCAUAAGAUUCAAAAUGAGCUGAUUGAUAUUCUUGCACAAGGUGUUAAAAACACUAUCAUAAGGAUAAUUAAGGAUGCCAAAUAUUUCUCUGUAAUUCUAGACUGUACCCCUGAUGUAAGCCAUCAAGAACAAAUGACUCUAAUUGUGAGGUGUGUAAACAUGUCCAGUAACACUACAAAAAUAGAAGAGUAUUUUCUGGAGUUCUUGAAGGUAGAUGAUACAUCUGGACUAGGACUCUUCAAUGAGUUAGUAGGCGCCCUUAAAUCUCUUGAUUUGAAUGUUAAUGAUGUUAGAGGUCAAGGCUACGAUAAUGGUUCUAACAUGAAAGGAAAACAUCAAGGUGUUAAAACACGUUUGCUUGAAAUAAAUCCUAGAGCAUUGUACAUGCCAUGUUCCUGUCAUAGCCUCAAUCUUACACUUUGUGACAUGGAAAAAUCAUGUAGCAAAGCUAUGACCUUCUUUGGAGUUGUGCAACGAAUUUAUACAUUGUUUUCGGGUUCUACUAAAAGAUGGGAGGUAUUGGUUAAUAAAGUUAAAGAUCUAACUUUGAAACCUUUGUGUGAUACUCGCUGGGAGAGUCGAAUAAAAAGUGUCCAUGCUAUUCGGUAUCAAGCUCCUCAGAUAUUGUUAGCUUUAUUGGAAUUGGAAAGAACUUCUAGUGAUGACCCAAAAACUAAGAGCGAUGCACAUUCUUUGGUUACUGCACUUAAGAAUUUUGAACUUUUACUUGGUAUGGUCAUUUGGCAUGACGUUUUAUUUACCAUAAACACUAUAAGUAAGAAGUUGCAGUCUAAAUUUGUUUGCAUUGACAUUACCCUUAAGCAAAUUGAAGGUGCAAUCUCAUUUUUCCAGAAGUACAGAACUGAUGGCUUUACAUCUAGCUUAAAUAUUGCAAAAUCUAUUGCAUCUGCCAUGGAUAUUGAACCUAGAUUUCUGACGAAACGUCGUGUUACGAGAAAAAGACACUUUGAUGAAAAUAAUGACGAUGAAGAAAAUGUUAUAAAUGCAGAAGCACAAGCAGCCGAGGAGGAGUCGUUUAGAGUUAAAUAUUUUCUAGUCAUGAUAGAUGUAGCGAUUGCUUCACUAACCAAAAGAUUUGAGGAUUUGAAGUCAUUUGAAAGUAUAUUUGGUUUCUUGUUCAACUCCAAAAAGUUGAAGUCUUUGGAUGAUAAAGAACUUACAGAAUGUUGCACUAAAUUUUCAAAUACGUAUUCUCAUGGUAGCUCGUCAGAUGUUAAUUUAGAUGAUUUCUGUUCUGAACUAAGAGUGCUUCAAAUGACUUUACCGAAUAGAUUAAUGUCAGCAGAUGAGAUUUUUGAUUUUGUUAGAGCUGCAGAUUGCUAUCAAAAUGUGUCCAUUGCUUAUCGAAUCCUCUUAACUGUUCCUGUUACUGUAGCAUCUGCUGAAAGAAGUUUUUCAAAACUAAAAUGA